UCAAGGGCAGGAGACAUCUGUAAUCUGGAACCACAAUAUAUGGAGAUGAGAAACAGAUGGAGGAAUGAACACAGGGAUGUCCCGGGCGUUGGCCCACGAAGGCAGUGGCUGGGAGUGAGCGUGGCCCUGAAGGCCAUCCCUGCAGCAGAAACAUAAUAACACUGGUUACCGUCACGGUGUGCUUGUUGGUGCCCGACUCCUCACAUUCUCUCUUGCAGUCCUCAUGAGAGCAAAAGCUGCAACAGUCUUUACCUACAAGCAAAGGCUAUUCAGAAAAGUGUGGAAUUCUUGUUGGCACUGAACACAUCGGAGUCAUGGGUUCCUUGCCUCCUACACUGACAUAUCCAGCGAUCAGAACCAGUUCAAACUAACUUCUGCCCAUGCUACUGACAGGUAAAUUGAAUUGAUGGCUAUCCCUUCA